GUGUUUUAAGUUGGUUUAAUUAAGAAUUUAUGUAGUAUUUUUAAGAAUAAAUUUCAAGCAAUUUUCAAUUUUAGUUUAGGGCGGUUCUGGAUGUUUCCAGGGCAACAAUUAAACAGCACAAAUAGCACAUGAGUAAUAAUCAAAUGUUUCCAAUGCAAAAACAAGUAGAUACGAGAUGACAAGAUAAAUUGGGGUGUAUAAAAAUAUAUUCAGAAGAUAAUUUUGUUUUUAAAAAAAUCAACUUUACUUUUUCUAAAUGUAGCAUCUGAUAAAAAAAAAAUAUUUUUUCAGGAAUGUACAACAGAUCUGACACACUUUUCUAAACUCUUUCAAGAUUAUGCCUGAGACUUCACAACAAAAGAACUGAGAAAUGCACAUUUAAGUCUGCCAACAGCUGAGAUUCAAGAAUAUUUCCCAAGGUGCAUACUGACUCCACAACGAACCACUGAGCCGAGCACAAGCAUACGACAGUGUCAAUUUAUUCAUAUUAGAUUUGACUUACUCCGUUGCAUAGGAGGUGUCAGCUUGGCUCAUGUUACAAUAAAUGAAAGAAAGUAGUCAGAGUUAAUGUCCAUGUCUUCAAAAACGAAUAGGUGACACAGCUGGAAACGCACACAAUGGAAAGUUCGGUUUGUGAAAUUUUUUCUUGUCAGGAGGAGGAUUGAUUGAUUGGAACAUAAAAAGGGACUAAACUUAAAAGUAAUAUUAAUUUGAACAGAUGGUGGAAUAACAAUAUGUGCAUUUCAGAUACCAUAAGUGUAAAAUUACAGAAAAAAAACUUUUGUCAUA
rnacentral:lncRNA from 1 species